UCUGUGAUGAUGAGACGCGCAGGGGUACGGACCUCAGCCGAUGAUGGGGGCUGAGUGCUGCUGCUGCGGUCUGAUCAGAGGACAAGUGGUUCACUGACGGACGCCAGCAGCACGACACAGACGCCACGCUGAACAGA